CGAGAUACAUAAUUACUUGUGUAGGUACUGUAUAUUUAUUUCAACAUAAAAAUGUAUGUAAAAUAUCUACAUGCCUACACAUUACAUUACAACACAAUACAAAAUAAACAUAGAAUUUUGUCCCGGAUUGUAAAAACCUAAUUUAAAGAUUGUAGACCUCUUACUCCCUCACUCUGCACCACGGUUGGUGCUAGACUAUAGACUGAGUCAUCUGGCAAGCAAGCUAUCUAAUUGGCCAGGUGAAUGGCCACUAAAUAAAUAAAAUGUGUCAACUUAAUGUCUUAAUCACAUACAUACUCAUGUGUAGGAAAGCACAUUGCUAUCGCCAGAUGAGUGACAACUUUUUUGGCUCAUUUUCUUUAACCAGCGCAGCAUGAAGGCAUGUUGAGUGGAAUUAGCAAGCAAGCCACAGCUGGCUAUUGUCCCUCUGCUCACUGGUGUUGCAGUUGAUAUAAUCUCCCUCUGAAAACUCAGCUUUAGAACGUAAAAUCAAUGAAAGUAAGUGUUUUGUAUAAUUCUCUCAUCCACAACAUCGCCAUGCUCUUUCCGGUCGCCUAAGACACAGGUCUGCAGCCGGCGCAAAUCUCUUUUGUAAGAAAAGUUGGCAAGCUGACAGCAAAUCUAACAUUACUCUUAUUGUUUUGAAACUUUGUUUAAAAAUAGUCAUUUAACUAGCCAGCCUACUUCCCUUCUUACUGCUACCAUUGAGUGUUUGUUGGUCGUAUGUGCAUUAGAAUGUUAUUGCUGUGAAACAAUCAUAAAAUAAGCUUUAAUUUUUCUCGGUCUGCUCGCCCAACUCAUAUCACAUAACAUCACAUCACAUCAAACUGCAGGCCUACUGUACAAUAAGGAAUUCAAAUACUAAACACCAGUCCUGGUGGUGUUCAGCUGAACUGUAUGUGACUUUGGCUUUUUACUGAAUAUGUGCCCAGUUCAAGCACAUGAGGUGGACCUAAUUGGUAUGGGUCAGUCGUAUCUGAAUAUUUAUGACCAUGGAUAAACCUGUUGUUGACUGGCUUGAUUUGAAUUGACUAAAGAAGGGUUAGACAUGGGUCAAAUAACCCUGGUAUGACCCUGGUCCUUCGUGUGAAAGAGGUAUAAGGUGCAGAGUUAUGUUAUUCUGGAGCAUGAAAUGUCAUCUCUUGCUCAGGAGAUAACAAGACCCUCCAUUUUUUUUCCCACAUUGAGUCCCAUUUUGAAAUCAGAAUUAUCCUCAUUACUGUAUGGUCUGGUUAACUUCUGUGAUGGUAAUAAGAGCUACAGGAAAAAAUGUUCAAUGUCUGUUUUAUGUUUUGCUUUUCUUUGUGUAACUAUGACUGAAAUGUAAAGAAGAAGUAUUGCACAACUCAUCAAUAGGGAAAGAUUUUGUGAAUUAAAACUGAAAGCUUUGAAGAGAAACUGCACUAAACUAGAUUAUACAUAUCCCAAAUAAAUAAUGAAGUGAUGGAUUUCUUUAAACACUGUCAAGAGGACAGGGUGAGAAAAAGACAUUAUGAAGACUUAUGAAGCAAAUACCUUUCAAUGCCAACACAAGUCUUAAUGUUUGAGACAAAUGUGAGUCCAGGCUUGCCCUCCUCCCUGUCCAGUCAUUUUACGUUUGAGAACCGUUUCGCAGUUUUGAAGAGCACAGCAGGUUCCUCACAUUUGGUCAUAAUUUGAUAGGAGAUAAUGUUUGAAGUAACGAUACAAACAUGGCUCUAUAAUAAUGUUUGAGGAUGAAAAUUGAAGUUUAAGUUUGUCUUCCAGUUUGCCAAUCGAGUUGGAUUUUUUUUUCUUUCCUGUGUGUUCCUCUGUAAACUUCUCACCCCUUGUCUCUUUUUUUCAGAUGUUUGUAAGAUAUGAUACGGGAUUGUACUUGGGACGCUAUUGAAUAAAACCUUUUACUAAAAUGUA